rnacentral:tRNA from 1 species
GCCAGCAUGGCUCAGUGGUUGAGUAUUGACCUAUGAACCAGGAGGUCCUGGUUCAAUCCCAUGUGGUGGCA